AACUCUGGUUUGCUCAAACAAGCCAGGGACAUAAAAUAAUGAUUUGAUCCUGGCUUGUUUGAGCAAACCAGUGUUUA